GAUGAACGCUAGCGGCAGGCCUAAUACAUGCAAGUCGAACGGGAUUAAGAGGCUUGCUUCUUAUGAGAGUGGCGCACGGGUGCGUAACACGUAUGCAACCUACCUUCAACUGGGGGAUAGCCUUCCGAAAGGGAGAUUAAUACCGCAUAACAUAAUUGAGUGGCAUCACUUGAUCAUCAAACGUCAGGGUUGAAGAUGGGCAUGCGUCCGACUAGUUUGUUGGUGAGGUAACGGCUCACCAAGACUACGAUCGGUAGGGGAUCUGAGAGGAUGGCCCCCCACACUGGUACUGAGACACGGACCAGACUCCUACGGGAGGCAGCAGUAAGGAAUAUUGGUCAAUGGACGGAAGUCUGAACCAGCCAUGCCGCGUGCAGGAAGACGGUCCUCUGGAUUGUAAACUGCUUUUGUUAGGGAAGAAACUUCCGUACGUGUACGGGACUGACGGUACCUAAAGAAUAAGGAUCGGCUAACUCCGUGCCAGCCGCCGCCGUAAGAC
rnacentral:rRNA from 1 species